AACAGCAAAUUCUUGGCAACGGGGUAGGUUCCGAAGCCUCUAAGAAGGCUAACACAGGCUCUCCUAUCCAACUCCUAUCCUGACACGUCCUUUACGUGCCGAGUGGUAACAUCCUGUAGCAUAUCUGCUAUAC
rfam:Anopheles gambiae M scf_1925495797 genomic scaffold, whole genome shotgun sequence.